rnacentral:siRNA from 1 species
UGCACGGACAUAGUAUUUAUU